rnacentral:rRNA from 1 species
GACCGAUAGUGAACCAGUACCGUGAGGGAAAGGUGAAAAGCACCCCGGAAGGGGAGUGAAAUAGAACCUGAAACCGUGUGCCUACAACAAGUCAAAGCCCGUUAAUGGGUGAUGGCGUGCCUUUUGUAGAAUGAACCGGCGAGUUACGAUUGCAUGCGAGGUUAAGUUGAAGAGACGGAGCCGCAGCGAAAGCGAGUCUGAAUAGGGCGUUUGAGUAUGUAGUCGUAGACCCGAAACCAUGUGAUCUACCCAUGUCCAGGUUGAAGGUGCGGUAAAACGCACUGGAGGACCGAACCCACGUACGUUGAAAAGUGCGGGGAUGAGGUGUGGGUAGCGGAGAAAUUCCAAACGAACUUGGAGAUAGCUGGUUCUCUCCGAAAUAGCUUUAGGGCUAGCCUCGGAAUUGAGAAUGAUGGAGGUAGAGCACUGUUUGGACUAGGGGCCCAUCUCGGGUUACCGAAUUCAGAUAAACUCCGAAUGCCAUUCAUUCAUAUCCGGGAGUCAGACUGUGAGUGAUAAGAUCCAUAGUCGAAAGGGAAACAGCCCAGACCACCAGCUAAGGUCCCAAAAUAUAUGUUAAGUGGAAAAGGAUGUGGGGUUGCACAGACAACUAGGAUGUUGGCUUAGAAGCAGCCACCAUUUAAAGAGUGCGUAAUAGCUCACUAGUCGAGUGACCCUGCGCCGAAAAUGUACCGGGGCUAAACAUAUUACCGAAGCUGUGGAGUACACCUUUAGGUGUAUUGGUAGGAGAGCGUUCUAAGGGCGUUGAAGGCAGAUCGUGAGGACUGCUGGAGCGCUUAGAAGUGAGAAUGCCGGUAUGAGUAGCGAAAGACAGGUGAGAAUCCUGUCCACCGAAUGACUAAGGUUUCCUGGGGAAGGCUCGUCCGCCCAGGGUUAGUCGGGACCUAAGCCGAGGCCGACAGGCGUAGGCGAUGGACAACAGGUUGAUAUUCCUGUACUCGUUGUUUUUGUUUGAGCAAUGGAGGGACGCAGGAGGCUAAGGAAUGCAGACGAUUGGAAAUGUCUGUCUAAGCAGUAAGUCU